UCGGGAUAGCUCANCUGGUAGAGCAGAGGACUGAAAAUCCUC
rnacentral:tRNA from 1 species